GUACGUUAAAUUUUGUCGAAUUAUGUAGCUUUAUUUGGAAAGAUUAUGCAGUUCAAUUCCUUAAUAUCUAGGAAUUAGAGUUAGAUACAGAUUUUCUUAUGAAGUUCAUAUUUUUAAGAGUUUCCUAUUCUUAGGGAGUUAAUUACUAUUUUUAAGCUAGACAAUUGUGUAUAUAAACUCAGGUUGUAACCUGAUUUAGUGAUGAUAAAUUUCAUUCUUCUCUUAUGAUUUUUGUCAUGAUAUCAGAGCUAUUGGCUCUUUCUUGAUAAACUCUGAAUUUUUUCUGUUCUUUUCUCUGGUCAUACCCAACUGAGCUCCAUCUUUUCUGUUCCUCUCAAUCGUUGUUGCAUUCGCUCUCAUAAUUGCCUUGUUUGUAUCUAUUUCUCCAUUCAAUCAAUCAUGUCGAAAUCACCAGUCCUGUCAUAAGUGCCCCUACAUUUGAGAAUAUCGUCACUAUUACAAUUGAAGGUUUGUAGAACAUUCAAGCCGUAUAUCAAUUGAAUGGGAAGAAUUAAUUGAAGUGCUCACAAUUGGUCUGCACUUUUCUAAAGGGCAGAGAAACAUUAAGCCAUUUAAUGGGCACAGGUCUUUUGCAGGACGGUCCCAAAUUUG
rnacentral:lncRNA from 1 species